rnacentral:rRNA from 1 species
UGACUAUAUGUUUAACGGCCGCGGUAUUUUGACGUGCGAAGGUAGCGCAAUCACUUGUUUUUUAAAUGGAGACCUGUAUGAAUGGCACCACGAGGGCUUAACUGUCUCCCCCUCCCAGUCAAUGAAAUUGAUCUUCCCGUGCAGAAGCGGGAAUAAAAACAUAAGACGAGAAGACCCUAUGGAGCUUAAGAUACCAAGACAGCUCAUGUUAAGUACCCCCAAAACAAAGGAAUUAAACCAAAUGAACUCUGUCUUAAUGUCUUUGGUUGGGGCGACCGCGGGGAAAUACAAAACCCCCAUGUGGAGUAGGAAUACUAUAUUCCCAAAUCCAAGAGCUCCCGCUCUAAUAAAACAGAAUUUCUGACCUAUAAGAUCCGGCAAUGCCGAUCAACGGACCGAGUUACCCUAGGGAUAACAGCGCAAUCCCCUUAAAGAGCCCUUAUCGACAAGGGGGUUUACGACCUCGAUGUUGGAUCAGGACAUCCUAAUGGUGCAGCCGCUAUUAAGGGUU